CCCUGAUGGCUCAAAGUAGACGACAGAGGGCAACACAGGUCUCCAUCGGGGGAGUUUUGUGACCACACAGGGAGGGAAGCGGGGUAGUCAUAGUAACAGUAUGAGAGGUACCGGGAAUGGGGAGGGGCUGUUUGAAAGUAAAGUUGUGCGGCGGAGGCCAAUGUUGGAGCAGAAACAGAAGAGAAAAACAACCUCAAAAGCCAUUUUCAUAAACAUGUAGCCACAAUUCUUCUGAUCACGCUCAGGCCUCCAGGGUGACAUGAAAAAUAAAUUAGUAUAUAUUCAAGAGAUUUCAAUAAAAGGCCACAUGGUCAUUUGAAAAUGCACAAGCAGCAGCAGAUGAAUUGCCUUUGCAACAUACAGGUACAAUUAAGUGCUCCAUCUUUCAUAUUGACCGUCUGCAGAACUGGAUCAUAAAGAAGGGGAUGUUUAUGACUAUCGACUGCAGUGGAAUUGCAAAGUUCAAUUCUGGUCAUGUAUUCCCCCCACCCCAUCCCAUAGCCAUGGUGCCAUGGUACCCUGGGGGUGAGAGAGAGAGAGAGAGAGAGAGACAGCGAGAGAGGAAGAGAGGGUGUCUGGGGUCGUCUGUUACUUAGGGACCGCUCUAUUCGAGUGACUUGGCAAACUCGAUAUAGUCUAUGUAGCCGUCGUUGUUCUUGUCAUCAUCCCUCAGCACGUCAUCGAUCAGAUUUAUCAGGUCCUCUUCUUUCA